GCUGUUUCUGGACUCUAAAGAAGCUGCCACAAAUACGAUUUGAAGAUAUAUCACUAUUUGCAAACAGUUUUUCUUCAUCAACAUAAUCUAAAAUGGAAAAAUUCCUCGCUGAUUGAUACCAGUUUGACUACGAAGCUCUUCUGAAGAUGCCUACCUUUCUGCAGGUGGUAGAGACCACAGCCACCAGUGUUACUCUAACAUGGAAGUCUGGAAACGCUGAGCCUGUGUCCUACUAUUUGGUUCAGUACCGUUCUAAAACUUCUGGCAAUGGUUUUCAGGAGAUAGAUGGUGUAGCUUCAAGUCGCUACAGCAUUGGCGGUCUUAGCCCCUUCUCUGAAUACGAAUUCCGUGUCCUGGCCUCCAAUAGUGUUGGGCGAGGGCCUCCAAGCAGUAUUGUGAAAAUCCGUACAGGUGAGCAGGCACCAUCAUCACCACCACAUGACUUCUUCAGUUUAGCCCAGCUGAGCUCAGAGGACAGUCUGCUUGUUUACCUCCAAAUAUCUCUAAACUGCAGAUAAUUUCUCUCCCUCACACCAUCUCCCUUCUU